GAGAGAGAGAGAGAGAGAGUAGAAGAUGAGUAGAAGAGAAGAAAAAAAAUAUGUACAUACCUGGAGCUGGACUGCUAGAGAUCAAGGUUAGCAGCUUCUUCUUCUUAAACUAAGAAAAAUAUAUACAAACCUGGAGCUAGACUGCUGGAGAUCAAGGUUAGUAGCUUCUUCUUCUUCUCUUCUUUCUUUGGUGGCUGGAGGCAGGUUUUAAGCCAAAGAAACCCUAUUUUUUCUUUU
rnacentral:misc_RNA from 1 species